AAGGCGGGGCCCAUAGGACUGUUGAGGAAUCAGCUCUAACUGAUGAUUGCCAAUGCAGAUAAAGCACUGGCAGAGUUUUCCAGCUUCUCAACAGAAGCAGAAGUCCAAGUGAUGAGGACUAGGCAGCCCAAAGAAACUGCAUGAUCUGCGUAGACCAAGACUUGGUAUAGUUCAUGGGCUAUCCCAUAUCUACCCUGCCCACCCCCGUGCUCCUAAGUGACACGACUCUGAGUUUCGCAGCCCAAGUGAGACACAGCUGAGAAAUCUGGAGGGGGCAUGGCUAGAAGUUUCCAAAUAAUCAGAAGAAAAAAAUCAACAAAGAUAUUGUGAGCACAGACUCUGGGCAAUUUACUGUGAGGAAUACAAAUAAAUAUAAGGUUUAAGCUGCAAAGACGUAUUACAUAAGAACAAGGGAAGCUGCUUUAUGGCACGCUGGUGAAGGAUCCUGCUGAUUCCUCCUGAGCGGCUCUCGACUUCCUUUAUGGCAUCAAAGGCCCCAGAAACUGUUAGUGAAGAUGACGUGGAGGAGGGGAUAAUUUUUCUGUUUCCUGAGGUGCCGUUUCUCCUUGUAUGCUUGCUGUGUUGACACUUACGCUGAUGAUGCAAAAGCGACAGCGGGGGGCCACUCGAGCCAGCGGCAGCAGACCCAACAGCUUGCUGGCAGGUCCCUUCCCGCCACAUGCUUGCAAUAAAGAAGGAGGAAAAAAUCAAUUUCAUUUAAGAAUGUCUUCGGUGAAGCAGUAAAAAUGAUUAAUUUUAUUAAAUCUCAACCCUUGAAUACAUGUCCUUUCAAUAUUUUCUGUGAGAAAAUUAUACUUCACAGAGCAAGCGGUUGAGUAGCUGAGUGCCGC
rnacentral:lncRNA from 1 species